UAAGGAAUAUUGGUCAAUGGACGCAAGUCUGAACCAGCCAUGCCGCGUGAAGGAUUAAGGUCCUCUGGAUUGUAAACUUCUUUUAUCUGGGACGAAAAAAGGCGAUUCUUCGUCACUUGACGGUACCAGAUGAAUAAGCACCGGCUAACUCCGUGCCAGCAGCCGCGGUAAUACGGAGGGUGCAAGCGUUAUCCGGAUUCACUGGGUUUAAAGGGUGCGUAGGCGGGCAGGUAAGUCAGUGGUGAAAUCCUUGAGCUUAACUCGAGAACUGCCAUUGAUACUAUCUGUCUUGAAUAUUGUGGAGGUAAGCGGAAUAUGUCAUGUAGCGGUGAAAUGCUUAGAUAUGACAUAGAACACCUAUUGCGAAGGCAGCUUACUACGCAUAUAUUGACGCUGAGGCACGAAAGCGUGGGGAUCAAACAGGAUUAGAUACCCUGGUAGUCCACGCCCUAAACGAUGAUUACUCGACAUUUGUGAUACACAAUAAGUGUCUGAGCGAAAGCAUUAAGUAAUCCACCUGGGAAGUACGACCGCAAGGUUG
rnacentral:rRNA from 1 species